GAUGAACGCUGGCGGCGUGCCUAAUACAUGCAAGUCGAGCGAACAGACGAGGCGCUUGCUCCUCUGACGUUAGCGGCGGACGGGUGAGUAACACGUGGAUAACCUACCUAUAAGACUGGGAUAACUUCGGGAAACCGGAGCUAAUACCGGAUAAUAUAUUGAACCGCAUGGUUCAAUAGUGAAAGACGGUUUUGCUGUCACUUAUCGAUGGAUCCGCGCCGCAUUAGCUAGUUGGUAAGGUAACGGCUUACCAAGGCAACGAUGCGUAGCCGACCUGAGAGGGUGAUCGGCCACACUGGAACUGAGACACGGUCCAGACUCCUACGGGAGGCAGCAGUAGGGAAUCUUCCGCAAUGGGCGAAAGCCUGACGGAGCAACGCCGCGUGAGUGAUGAAGGUCUUCGGAUCGUAAAACUCUGUUAUUAGGGAAGAACAAAUGUGUAAGUAACUAUGCACGUCUUGACGGUACCUAAUCAGAAAGCCACGGCUAACUACGUG
rnacentral:rRNA from 1 species